rnacentral:snRNA from 2 species
GGAUGUGAGGGUGAUCUGGCUGCGACAUCUGUCACCCCAUUGAUCAUUAGGAUUGAUUCAGUUGAUCUGGCUAGCUAGGCGGAUAUCUUCCUCCUUUACCACUCCACAUGUAUCCCUCACAAAAGUGUGCAUUCAGUUGAAGAGGACCCUUCUUUGGUCAAAGGUAUACGAGUCACUGUGCUCCGCUGCUAGAACCUCCAGACAAGCUCUCAAGUACCAUUUGUAGGAGAAUGUAGGGUAGUCAAGCUUCCAAGACUCAAGACACAUACAAACGAGGCAGUGCACAAUCUGCCUUUCUUU